GGGCCAUGGCCAAGGCAGAGGGGGCCGUUCCCUCACUCUUUCCAGGUUGGCUUCGCGGGCCACAUGAAACGGGCUGCGUCCGGCCCCCAGGCCUUGUGUUUGACAUGUCUGAUCUAGAAUGAGGCCCCAAGCGGCACUUUCCAUUGGUUACAGGUUAAAACUCCUGGCCUUCAUGUUCAGGCAACACUGUUUAUUACAUUUUCUCUUUGAUCUGUUGGAUACUAAUUAGUAUUAAAGUGUUUAGUUAUUUGAUUAUUUUAAUUGUUAGCCUUAUUGUAUCUUUCCUAACCAAAUGCUAUCUGAAUGUGCUGAACUUUUAAGUCCCACGACUUUACAUUAACUUAUUUCAGUUGCUAUUAAGUUUUAUUUUAGAACUAACCACUAAGGUCCAGUUUAAAGAAAUGAUUGUUUAGAGUUUUUAACUAAAGCAAAAUGUCAGAGACGUGAUGAUCCAAGUUCUGCUAUUCUGCGAUUGUGACCUUUCCUGGACCAAGAGGCCCUUGAGACUGUGGCUCAUGCCCUUGUUACCCUCUUGUUAAACUACUGCAGUACUUUAAACAUCCUUGAAAAAUAACCCAGAAGUAGCAGCUAGCAUGAAAGGUGGUUCUUACCUAUGAACAGAUAUAAGCAACCUUUGCUGUGGGAUCUGAACAAAUUGCCAGCAAAAUUCCAGGCCAAGUUCAAGUUGCUGGUUUUUACCCAUAAAACUUAUACAGUAUGGCUUGCAUCUCCACUACCUUUUAAACUAUCUGCUUGCACAAGGGAGUCUUUGUGAGUCCUCGCUUCCUGAAAGAGAGAGCUAGAUGCCUAGAGAAUGACACUUUCCCAAAGACCCCUCCCUGCUGAUAUAUAAGAAGGCUGUCAAAAUAGUAUUAUUUUGAACGGGCUUUGGGGAAGAAAGCUGAGUAGUGAAUUUCAAUAUUUUAUUGAAUGUCUAUGUCUAUGGAGAUAAUCAUCCAGGUAAUGUUUAUCUCAAAGGUGCUUUUUCCAAAAGGCAACUGGACUUUCUUGGGUUUUUUUCCUUUGAAAAUGUUUCCCUUGUCAUCCAAGAAACUUCUUCAGAAAACUGAAGACGCUUCUAGGGAUGAGCAGCGAAACCUUUUCAAAUGAAGAAGAAAAAAAAAACAAGAAAGUCCAGUUGCCUUUUGAAAAAAGCACUUUUCAGACACACGAUUGGCUUGUUAGAAUCAUGUGAGGCACAUUCAUGAUUGCAAAUAAGCAAUGUGGAGGACACCAGAUUGGGGGAUGUUGCUCCUGACCACAUGUGUAAUUUUUAAUUUUUUGGUCCCAUUAUUAUCUCCACUACUGAGAUUAAUCUAUCUAUUCUCCUCAGGGCACUGAAUCUGGUUCUCUGACAGUCCUAUGUCAACACGAAUCACAACACAAUAGUUUCUCAGGAUCUCACAAAGUGACCUUCGGAAAUUAUUUUGGGACAAAAGAUUCUUCAUUUUAAAAAGAUGUUUCUUUAAAGGACCUCCUUCCUUAGAGAUGUAUACUUGCCAGUUGCCCAAAACAAAACAAAACAAAAAAAAACCUGCCUUAUUGAAAAGGUUUGCUAGCUGAAUAGCCACUAGAACAAUAAAUGCAAAAGGCUAUAAAAUGAGCAAUGUACAUUAUGUGGCUGGAAUUAAAGAGCAAGACGAAUGGAGGCAGGAUGUCGUAUGAUCAAAGGGAAUAUAUUGAACUGCUUAUUCCUGUUCUUUAAGAUAAAACGAGUGCUUCGGUGUAAUCUUGAAAUGGGGAUGUAGAAUAAAUUCCUACUAGACCAAACAAGAAACAAUGACUGAUGAAUUCAGCAGCCAGGAAAAGUAGUGAUAUUUGUAAGUAAUACUACGUGGAGAUUUUCUUGUGCCAUUUCCCCAAAUCAUUUGAAGGGAAAUACCGGAUUAGCUAACCUUGUGUCAGGUCCAUUAGAUAAACUCUCCAACUGUUCCUGACUGAAGUAAGUAGAGCUGGGAGUAAAAGCAGAUGGUUUUUAUUUAAGGUUUUGUGUAAUGGCUUACUCUUACUAUUUUUUUAAAAAAUAAUAAUAAAAGCAUUGAUUUAACGGGAUAACAAGCAAAAGUUUCACAGUUUUAUCUUUUCACAGGCAGCUUCAUCCCAAUAGGAAAUGCUUUCAGCCAAACACCAUCAGCCGGACUACACUCGGUUAUUGCAGGGGUCUUCAAACUUGGCCCUUUUAUGACUUGCAGACUUCAACUCCCAGAAUUGCUCAGCCAGGAAAAUUUGGAGGUUCUUUGAAAAUGCUGGAAAACUUCAUUAUCUUCUAUUACAUACUAUUGGCUGGGCUCAUCCAAACUUUCAAAAAACGCUUUAAUUUCUUAUGGAUUGAGCGCUUGUAGCAAUCUUAAACAACCAUGGUGUUAUGUCCUGGGCUCUGAUUGACAGAGCAGGUGCAGGAAGCUGCAUUGAGACCCGGGCAGACCACAUGGCCUGCCUGGGCCAGACAGGCUGUCUCCGGCUUAGUGAGCAUGUGCGGGAGCAGGAAAAUAUGUUGCAUUCAUUGGCUGACGCUGUCCCUUGCAAAAGGUAUAAAAGGGGGCGGAGCCAUUUUGUUUGCUGUUCUGUUGAAGCUGAAUAAAUAAGUACCUGUUUGCUA